GAGCUGCAGAAAGCUCUGGAAAAAUGGGAUAUUCCGGAAUUCCUCCUUUUUCCCUGUCAAUUCCUCCUUUUCCUUGUGUUUUCCACGAUUUUUCCCAGUUUUUCCCCAUUUUCCGUUCUUUUGUAUCCAUUAAAAACCACGACGGAAAGGAGAAACUCCCCUUGGUGAAACUCGCUGGGAUUGGGGUUGGAGGUGUGGGAAGCCCUGGAAUAACAGAAUAUUCCAGAAUUCCUCCUUUUUCCCUGUCAAUUCCUCCUUUUCCUUGUGUUUUCCACGAUUUUUCCCAGUUUUUCCCCAUUUCCGUUCUUUUGUAUCCAUUAAAAACCACGACGGAAAGG